rnacentral:rRNA from 1 species
ACUCCUACGGGAGGCUGCAGUGGGGAAUCUUCCGCAAUGGGCGAAAGCCUGACGGAGCAACGCCGCGUGAGUGACGAAGGCCCUUGGGUCGUAAAACUCUGUCUUCAGGGAAGAAAAAAAUGACGGUACCUGAGGAGGAAGCCCCGGCUAACUACGUGCCAGCAGCCGCGGUAAAACGUAGGGGGCGAGCGUUGUCCGGAAUUACUGGGCGUAAAGGGCGUGUAGGCGGUUCGCGAAGUCAGGAGUGAAAACUCGGGGCUCAACCUCGAGAUUGCUUUUGAAACCAGCGGGCUUGAGUGCAGGAGAGGAAAGUGGAAUUCCCAGUGUAGCGGUGAAAUGCGUAGAUAUUGGGAGGAACACCAGUGGCGAAAGCGGCUUUCUGGCCUGUAACUGACGCUGGGGCGCGAAAGCGUGGGGAGCAAACAGGAUUAGAUACCCUGGUAGUCCACGCCGUAAACGAUGGGUGCUAAGUGUUGGGGGUAUCGACCCCCUCAGUGCUGUAGCUAACGCAAUAAGCACCCCGCCUGGGGAGUACGGUCGCAAGACUGAAACUCAAAGGAAUUGACGGGGGCCCGCACAAGCGGUGGAGCAUGUGGUUUAA